rnacentral:rRNA from 1 species
UACGGGGGGGGGCAAGCGUUGUUCGGAAUUACUGGGCGUAAAGGGCUCGUAGGUGGCCAACUAAGUCAGACGUGAAAUCCCUCGGCUUAACCGGGGAACUGCGUCUGAUACUGGAUGGCUUGAAUUCGGGAGAGGGAUGCGGAAUUCCAGGUGUAGCGGUGAAAUGCGUAGAUAUCUGGAGGAACACCGGUGGCGAAGGCGGCGAUCC